rnacentral:rRNA from 1 species
UACCAGCACCCCGAGUGGUCGGGACGUUUAUUGGGCCUAAGCAUCCGUAGCCGGUUCUACAAGUCUUCCGUUAAAUCCAACUGCUUAACAGGUGGGCUGCGGAAGAUACUAUAGAGCUAGGAGGCGGGAGAGGCAAGCGGUACUCGAUGGGUAGGGGUAAAAUCCGUUGAUCCAUUGAAGACCACCAGUGGCGAAGGCGGCUUGCCAGAACGCGCUCGACGGUGAGGGAUGAAAGCUGGGGGAGCAAACAGG